CACCCAGAGGCUGUAACCAGAAAGGAAGAAGCAGAGGGCUGAGGUGGUAUGGGAGCCAGGCACUGGGCUGGAAUGAAACAAGGCGUCGUCUGUCCCUGAGGUCUUUCAGAAAUGUUUUUCUCCAAAGACAAGUCAGAGCCAAUGGAUGAGAAGGUGAGAAGAGCAAGGUUCAGAGGGCCAGUGCUAAAGGAAGAGGACAGGCAGAAAGAAAUCAAGCAAGAAAAUGGAUUUCAAAACCCAGGCCUGACCUUCUCGAGAAGGGGAUCCUUCUUUCCUUUCUCUCCCUGUCAUCCCUGGAAUUCUGACGUGCACUGGAAUAUGCUAAGGCAAUCAGGUGUCUGCACUAGAAUCAGCAUCAGCAGCAUCCACUCAGAGAAACAAGGUCCCUAAGGAGAGAAUGUGACUCCUUGAAGGCAAGGAACAUGCCUUUGUCUUUCUGGAGCUCAAUACAGUGCCUGGCACAUAUCCUGCAUCUAAUAAAUAUUAG